rnacentral:lncRNA from 1 species
ACACGCUGUUUUUCAGAGGCGUCAACAAGUGCUUUUUCCCCUUCUCUGAGGGAGCCAGAAGUGUGUCUGGUAGGAACCGUGGCUGGGAACCCCAGGUAAAGGUCUACCAAGGCGCAGUGCCAGUGGACAGAGAUUAGGUGUACUCCUGAGAGUGGAAGCACAGCCAUUUGUCACGCCUUUCAAGAUACAGAACAGCAAGACAGGAGGCUCUCCAGCAGAGAGGACUGCAGGCUUUUGCAGGACAGAAAAUCUCAGAUAUGGAAACUGAGCCCUCACACAUGGACUGAAUUCUGACAAGCAGAGGAUAAAGGCAGAACAACAUGACUGAAGGCGAUGAGGAACAGCUGAUCACCUGUGGAAGUCAUUUGUCCUAAAUUGUCAUGGACAGACCAUGUGCCUUACAGCAAGAAAAUUCUGUGAAUAAACAGGAAGCCAGCCAGCCAGGGAAGAUGCUUUUGUGAUAUAUCCCAGCAUGCUGAUGACCCCAAGGAGGACCACUGGAUACCUAGCAAGGAGCUGGCUGCAGCAUACCAUGAAUCCUCACAGCAACUUAAUGAGAUUCUCCCAUUGAGAAGCAUUUCUGUGAGCUCUGGAAGUCAGGUGAAAAGGAGAAGUCAUAAUCUAUGGCAGCAGCUAUGGGAAGGAAAAAGAAGAACUGAUUGAAGAGUGGCAACCAGAACCUCUUGUUCCUCCUGUCCCAAAAGACCAUCCUGCUCUCAACUACAACAUCGUUUCAGGGCAAUAUGAUAAAAUUGAAAAAUUUCACAAAUGUCAGGAGAACAAGAUCUGGUGUCUGGGUUUCAACUCUUAGAGCUUCCCAGCUCGUAGCUAUGCUCCUGAAUUCCUCUGGCAGCCCUCCUCAAGGACCUCUGUGAGACAAAGUCAGAAAUGACUUCACUGGAGACCAAGAGAGCCCACAGAGCUCUUCCUGCUGCUUCUUCUACCCUUGUACUCACUCGGCUCUCUAAAUUUGUCUCAGCUCCAGACACGUGGGAAGAUUACCUUUCUCUGAUGUCUUGGGAUUGAACUGAGCUAUGUGGCUAGUUACAGGCCAAUAGGCUGUUAGCAGAUGUGACAUCUAACACAACUAGGCUGCAGUUUGAAAUAAAUACCAGUGCACAGCCUCCAGAAUUCCUCCCCUGCUAAGGUGACUGAGAAGACCUCAGCUGAGAUGGUGGGAAAAAAAAAUAUUCAAGCAGCUUGGAUAACGAAGUUCCUAAAUGGAAGAACAUUGUCCCAGAGAGUCACUUGAACCCAGAAUAGAUUUACGUGAUCAGACAAUAAACCUCUAUGACACCCUG